rnacentral:lncRNA from 1 species
CCGCUGCCGUGACACCCCCCGGCCCCCAUCCCGCUGCCAUCACGCCUCCCGGCCCCCGCACCCUUGUCUGUGUCCCACAGCACAGGACCUGUCAGCGAGCGUCUGGCGCCUUCCUCCCUCCCCUGCAGAGACCCGCCAGGCCCCUCCAACAGGUGCUUUCUAAACUGCAAUUUCCUCAUCUACAAAAGGACAAUCACAACAACGGAACCCAGGGGACAGGACUGCAUCAACUACAACCAGACGGCGUAGACGGCAGCACACGGCCCUCGGCAAAUCAGAGGUGCUCAGUGACCACAGCCACCAUGACAGCAGGGCGGGGCGGGGGGCAAGGAAGCAGCGCUGGGAGACUUGGAGACACCCCAAAAAACGCCUUCCUCAGAAACACUGCUGUGCAAGAACCUGCAAAUCCCUAAGGCGUCUGUGUCCGAUGGCCCCGGCCCCAUGCUCUGAGGUCGCGCAGGUGUCCAAGGCCAGGAGGGGCACCGAGGAGACGAAGAAGAAACAGCACAGCAGCUGGGGAGGUAGGAACAGCAGAGUCUGAGUCACCAAAGCCCGGGGCUGCCACUCUCCAGGGCGCCCCACUCCCAGCUCCAGCGGCUGAGUCCACCAAGCCAGGACAGGCCCAAGGACCAGAGGGCGAGGUGAUUCACAGUGGAGCUCGGAAAGACCCAUCCAUGCCCAGCGCCUUGUCAAAAACCACAGGGGUCUUGGUGACAAGCAAUUGAGGGAGGCCAACAUGGCAGAGCCAGGGCUGCAAAAUCGGCUGGAAUAAGCAUCAGACCUGCUAGAAGGGUUUUCUGUGCCUGUUUUCGGUGAGCACAGAACAACUGAAGGAAGCGCGGGACAGACACAAGGGCGGGCCUCGGUGCCACGGCUGGCCUUGGGCAGAGGGAAAUGCUUUGUGUACUUUCUCUGGGAAGCAGCAGCCCCAGCGCGGCCUCGGCGUCCUCUGCCGCCAACUGCUCCGUGACCGCUGGGCGUGUGUGCGGGGACAUGGGAGCAACUUCACAGUGGUGGGAAGUUUCUCUCCUAAAACGAAAGCUUCUCUAUACUACAGAUUGGCCCCAUUAAAUAAAAGAAAAUACGGUGUAUUUUUACAGCGUUUGGGAUUGGAAAUGACUGAGAUUCACGGUGGCUCUAGUCCUGUCUCCUGAAGACGGAGCUGGACGAGGUCUGCGGACAGUCAGAAAACACGUCAGGGUUUUGGCUCAGCUGCCAGAUAUGCAGCUAUGGUGGGAUUUCUGCGGCAGGGCAAGGAAGUGGAGACAGUUCGCGUGGCAGAGCACAGCGGGUGCCCUAUAGUGGGCACGCCUGGAGAGCGUAUAUUUUCACAGGGCCCGAAACCUGAAUGGAGGAUUCUUUCCACCAGCUGCGGGGUGGGGGGGGGCUCAGGCACAUCAGUUUUCCCACCCAGAAGACGAAGGCCUGCGAAGGGGGCCCCAUGAGGCCUGGGAAGGGGGCCCCGUGAGACCUGGGGUUAAAUCUUCCACAGCAAGCAGGGACCCCAGCCAGGCUCUGCACAAGGCAGGCGCUGCGCUCAGGUGGGAGUCCUGUGAGAUGCUCCUGCACCCCACACUCCCGUGACCACAGGCGAGGCCUAACGCCCCCCACGCCGGUUCAUCUCGUCUCCUCAAACUCCCACCAAGAUGCUCACGACAGGGCCCAAAUGCACUCCCGGGGGGUUGGCUAGUCUGCAGGAUCACAGGCUGGCCCAGUGAAAACCUGGGCUUCGCUGCCUUACAACCAUGCAGAACUCAUAGCCAGGCCAUGUGCCCACCUGCCCACUGGGACCCCGGGACAGUGCCUGCUCCAGACAGAGGCUGGGAGCUCUGUGAGGGGCACAUGGAGUGAAGCAGAGCCUGCGGCUCACCUGUUUGGCUCUGGCUGGCCAGGUGCCCCCUCAAGCCCCAGCUCAGCCUUCCCCCAAACACUCAGCUCCAUCCCCCACCCCAGCGGGUCAGGGCUCCAUCAAGACUGCUGGUGAAUGGCCGGCUGAGGAGGCAGCGAGGCAGCGGGUCAGGGCUCUGUCAAGACUGCUGGUGAAUGGCCGGCUGAGGAGGCAGCGAGGCAGCGGGUCAGGGCUCUGUCAAGACUGCUGGUGAAUGGCCGGCUGAGGAGGCAGCGAGGCCUUUGGAGAGGGAGGGCCAGGGUCACAAGACCAGCAGGGCACAAAGGUGGCUACGGGAGGAGCAGGAAGUCAACAGCCGCAAACAAACCUCCCAAGCCACUCGAAGCUGACAUCCGCAGGCCACAGGGACACACCUGAGGCUGCGGAGGGGCGGCCACAGACCUUCACAGCCAUCCUGGGUCCCCAGGCAGGCAACGCCCGGCUGCUCGUCUGCUGUCCACCUCCCUAUGGGGACACCUCAAAUCACACGAGAAUUGUGACCUCAAAAGCUUAUGCUGCUUUUGCACAGAAACAGUGACGUGUGAACCAUCCUGGGAUGGUAUGAAAGACAAGCGCAGGUCUGGAAAAGCAGUUCAGAAGCCACUCAACUGUCUACGCUGGGGAGACGGUUUCGUGAGCUACCACCACAGCCUAUAACUACUUAUCCAUUAAAAAUGAUAAUAAAACCCAGGAAGAGGCCGGGAAAACAUUCAAUAAACCAGCGUGCUGAGGGAAUCUGCACAACCCCCCUCCCUGCCCAAUGUAGACGUGUGACGGGAAGUGGCAGGGGCAGCAGCUCCUCUGAGGGGCCCCGUGGCAGGCAGGCCCUGGCGGGGGCUGGGAGGGCUCAGGGGCAGGGGUGACUCCCAGAUGCCCUCCAGAGGGUCCAGGGCCCUGCAGGAGCCACCAGCCCUCACCACUGGAGUCCCCGGCCUCCCAGCUCUGGGGAAGCAGCCCUGGAGAAGUGGCGCCCAUGCUUUCUAGAACCUCUCUGAAGGGUUGUUUAAGCAGCGAGGGCCCAUGCUGCCGUCAAGAACACACAAUUCUCAAGGUCCCGGCUUUGGGGAGUUCCCCCAGGCCCCGAACCUGACCUUGGCAGCCCCUCUGCGUGGCUCAGGAACGAGUCCCACAAGCCCCUGGCUCUUGGCCGGAAACCGGCCACCAAAACAGACUGUGAAGGGCCAACCCCUCCUCCCAGGGAAUUCCAGGGCUCAGUAGGACCCUUUGCUUUCCCUGGGGUUAGAAGGACAGGUGCUGGCAGAAACGCAAAACAGAGUGGCCACUUUGGCAGCUUUGUAUGAAGCUAAAUGUGCACACACUGUAAGAACCAGCGAUGCCCAAUCCUAGCGAUCCACCCAAAAUAAAAUUACGCUCACAUGAAACCCUGUAUGUGAACAUUUAAAGCAGCUUUAUAAUAGACACAAUCUGGAAAGAACUCAAAUGUCGCUCCCACGAUGGCGGGACACAGACCGCGGCACAGCCCCCCGUGCUCAGUGGCGAGCAGCCACGGCCACCUGGUGUGCACGACGUGACACACCAUCUCAAGCGCAGGAGGCACGGGGACAGCCAGGCUCGGAGGCUGCACACGCACAGGUGCCACCCGCGUGACGGUCCGGGGAGUCUGAUCACGGGAGCAGAGUGCAGCCGCACGGCCGCCAGGUUGGGUGGAGGGAGGGGCUGACCACCCAGGGACGGGCAGAGGAGUCUGGAACAGGACGGUUUGUGCGCUGCCUGCGAGCACCGUGCUUCCACGACUAGAUGCCUCUGUGGUGAAAGCCAAAAGGAGUAUUUUACUGCACACAAAUUCUCAGAAAUGAUCAUCUGAAAACUACAGGUUCUCGGCUAAGGCACCCAGGCUCAGACUGCCGACACAUCGUUAAGCAGCUGGGUACCAGCAGCAAUGACCUCAUCCCUCUGACUCCGUGACCUCGGCUGCAGAGGGUCACGGCGAAUUAUAUACACAGUGCCACGCACAUGGGAAGCUCUCAGUGAGAGAGGGUGGGCUGAGAGCCGCUUGGCCUGGGCCCUGCACCUCGUCCCACUCUGCAUGAACUGCCUUUGCGGGUAAGGUCGGGGAGAAGGUGCCAGGCUGUCAAGGCCCAGGGUGCAGGGGGCCAGGUGGGAAGAACAGGAAGGCCGGCCGAGCUGGAGCCUGCACGGCCCUGCAUUUGUUACUCUGCCUCUUAGACUAUGCAGUGGUAGCAGUGGAGGAGGGGGAGCACGCCCCCCACCCGGCAGCCCAGCAAGGCUGCAACCUGCAGCUCCCAAAGGGCUUGGUCCCUCCCCGCGUGCCGUCAUCCAGGGCCACCAGGGCCGGGGACGGUGCCGGGCAGUGCCGCUGGGAGACGGGCUUGGUGCCUAGGCCGGGUGGGGGUGAGCUAAGCACACCCAGCCCCGCUCCACCAGACUGACCUUGCCAGGCUGGGAUUUGAGAGGGCUUCGGGGAUAACUGUGAGGACCCCCUCUCCUAAGACCCCCAAGUCAGGGGGCCAUGAAAGGUGGGGGAAGGGGAACCUGUCUGGGACCACUCAGAAUUCUUCCCUUUCCUUGUAGAGCCCGAGCCCGGGCAGAAGAACCAGAACAAAACCUAAGUACAAACACGGCGGGCUCGAGCGGGGCUUGGCACGGCGCAGGGGUGGCGGCAAGGGGGCAGCCUGGACUGGAGCCAGAAAGCCUGUGCUGGCAUCCGCCACGCGGACGGGGAAGCUGAGACCCAGGGCUCAGGUCACGCUUACGUCGUUUGGUAGCCAGGUACCAGGACCUCAUGCCAUACACAGCACACAGGCUGUGGAGCUGGAGCCAGUCGAGGAACCUGGAAGCCCCGACCCAGACAAGGCGCAGCCUGGGGGAGGGACAGGGAGGCCUCUCGAACCCAUGGCUUUCUUCUGCCCACUGCAGCCUGGGGGAGGGACAGGGAGGCCUCUCGAACCCAUGGCUUUCUUCUGCCUGCACAGGGGCCCCUCCUGUCCACGAUAAAAGCCCAGUAAUAAGGAGAAAGCAGUCAGCAGCCUUCACCUCAGCUCCAGACUCCGUUCUCGGGGCCAAGUUCAGGUGUGUGCCUGUCCCCCCACCCACCAGGUGGCCAGGCCUGGCUAUGACCGCACGGGAGAGCAGGGCGGACCCCGCGAACGGGGACAGCACCUGACGGCGACAUCCACAAACGCCGCCCCGCAGGAGCACGCACUCCCACACAAAGCGCCUGCAGCUGACAGCCGCCGGGAGGGGACAUCUGGACAGCCUCACGCAGCUUUCAGACCUGCAGUCCAUGUUAAAAGGAUCUUGUUUCCAAUUUGCCUUAAUUAAACAAACAUUCCAAACCACUUCCUCUCAGUCUGACCAUUGUUCU